rnacentral:rRNA from 1 species
ACGGCUCAGUAACACGUGGACAACCUACCCUCAGAACGGGGAUAAACCCGGGAAACUGGGUAUAAUACCCGAUAGUUCUGGGAUGCUGGAAUGCGCCCAGGACAAAAGCUCCGGCGACUGAGGAUGGGUCUGCGGCCUAUCAGGUAGUAGUGGGUGUAAUGUACGUACUAGCCUACGACGGGUACGGGUUGUGAGAGCAAGAGCCCGGAGAUGGAUUCUGAGACACGAAUCCAGGCCCUACGGGGUGCAGCAGGCGCGAAAACUUUACAUUGCUGGCAACAGCGAUAAGGGGACCUCGAGUGCCAGGAUACAAUCUUGGCUGUCGUGAUGCCUAAAAAGCAUUGCAUAGCAAGGGCCGGGCAAGACCGGUGCCAGCCGCCGCGGUAACACCGGCGGCUCGAGUGGUAACCGCUAUUAUUGGGUCUAAAGGGUCUGUAGCCGGCCGGAUAAGUCUCUUGGGAAAUCCAGCAGCUCAACUGUUGGGCUUUCAGGAGAUACUGUUCGGCUCGAGACCGGGAGAGGUGAGAGGUACUUCAGGGGUAGGGGUGAAAUCUUGUAAUCCUUGAAGGACCACCAGUGGCGAAGGCGUCUUACCAGAACGGAUCUGACGGCAAGGGACGAAAGCUAGGGGCACGAACCGGAUUAGAUACCCGGGUAGUCCUAGUCGUAAACGAUACUCGCUAGGUGUCGGCCACGGUGCGACCGUGGUCGGUGCCGUAGGGAAACCGUGAAGCGAGCCACCUGGGAAGUACGGCCGCAAGGCUGAAACUUAAAGGAAUUGGCGGGGGAG